rnacentral:rRNA from 1 species
UACGUAGGUGACCAGCGUUGUCCGGAUUUACUGGGCGUAAAGAGCGCGCAGGCGGUCGUUCAAGUCGAGUGUGAAAGCCCCUGGCUCAACUGGGGAGGGUCAUUCGAUACUGAUCGACUGGAAGGCAGGAGAGGGAAGCGGAAUUCCCGGUGUAGUGGUGAAAUGCGUAGAUAUCGGGAGGAACACCAGUGGCGAAGGCGGCUUCCUGGCCUGUUCUUGACGCUGAGGCGCGAAAGCUAGGGGAGCAAACGGG